AUUGAGGCCAAUCAACUCCCACAGAUCCUAUCAAAUAUAAAAACCCAUUAAUGGGCACAUCAUCACGGAGUCAAUAGGUAUCAUCUAUCAACUUUUUGAGCGAAAAUCUGAGAACUCGAAGAACUAACCUCAAAGAAUAACAUGGAUAUCGAACUGGGAGAGGGUGGGCUUAAUGGAUACAAAUAAUACGGGUUUUAUACAAACAAGAGAAAUCCCAAUGAUACACACAAAAAAAAGUUAAGACGUGAUAGUAACGAAGAAGCGAAGGUCGUCCGAGGAUGAUCGUCUGGUGCGCACUGGACACAUCCCACAGUAGCUGAGUUUGGAUACAGAGAUGGAAUCAAAGAGAAAGGAAGAGAGAAGAGAAUUUUAUCGGCAUUAGGAGAGAGUGUCGACAUAGUUUAGAGAA
rnacentral:misc_RNA from 1 species